UGGGGAAUCUUGCACAAUGGGCGCAAGCCUGAUGCAGCAACGCCGCGUGCGGGAAGACGGCCCUAGGGUUGUAAACCGCUUUCAGGAGGGAAGAAAAUGACGGUACCUCCAGAAGAAGGUGCGGCCAACUACGUGCCAGCAGCCGCGUGACACGUAGGCACCAAGCGUUAUCCGGAUUUAUUGGGCGUAAAGAGCUCGUAGGCGGUUCGGUAAGUCGGGUGUGAAAUCCAAGGCUCAACCUUGGGACGCCACCCGAUACUGCUGUGACUCGAGUGCAGUAGGGGAGCAGGGAAUUCCUGGUGUAGCGGUGAAAUGCGCAGAUAUCAGGAGGAACACCAGUGGCGAAGGCGCCGCUCUGGGGCCGUAACUGACGCUGAGGAGCGAAAAGCAUGGGUAGCAAAACAGGAUUAGAUACCCUGGUAGUCCAUGCCGUAAAACGUUGGGCACUAGGUGUGGGUCUCAACCAACGAGAUCCGCGCCGUCGCUAACGCAUUAAGUGCCCCGCCUGGGG
rnacentral:rRNA from 1 species